rnacentral:rRNA from 1 species
AUUGAACGCUGGCGGAAUGCUUUACACAUGCAAGUCGAACGGCAGCACGGACUUCGGUCUGGUGGCGAGUGGCGAACGGGUGAGUAAUAUAUCGGAACGUAUCCAAUAAUGGGGGAUAACUAAUAGAAGAGUCUGCUAAUACCACAUCCGUCCUACGGGACAAAGCUAGGGAACUUCGGGCCUGGCGUUAAUGUACGGGCCGAUACCGGAUUAGCUAGUUGGUGAGGUAAAGGCUCAACAAGGCGACGAUCCGUAGCUGGUCUGAGAGGACGACCAGCCACACUGGAACUGAGACACGGUUCAGACUCCUACGGGAGGCAGAAGUGGUGAAUUUUGGACAAUGGGCGAAAGCCUGAUCCAGCCAUUCCGCGUGAGUGAAGAAGGCCUUCGGGUUGUAAAGCUCUUUCGAAAGAGAAGAAAACUUACCCUCUAACAUAGGGUGAGGUUGACGGUAUCUUGAUAAGAAGCACCGGCUAACUACGUGCCAGCAGCAGCCGCAG